rnacentral:rRNA from 1 species
UAGGGAAUCUUCCACAAUGGACGCAAGUCUGAUGGAGCAACGCCGCGUGAGUGAAGAAGGUUUUCGGACCGUAAAGCUCUGUUGUUGGUGAAGAAGGAUAGAGGUAGUAACUGGCCUUUAUUUGACGGUAAUCAACCAGAAAGUCACGGCUAACUACGUGCCAGCAGCCGCGGUAAUCGUAGGUGGCAAGCGUUGUCCGGAUUUAUUGGGCGUAAAGCGAGCGCAGGCGGAAGAAUAAGUCUGAUGUGAAAGCCCUCGGCUUAACCGAGGAAUUGCAUCGGAAACUGUUUUCUUGAGUGCAGAAGAGGAGAGUAGAACUCCAUGUGUAGCGGUGGAAUGCGUAGAUAUAUGGAAGAAUACCAGUGGCGAAGGCGGCUCUCUGGUCUGCAACUGACGCUGAGGCUCGAAAGCAUGGGUAGCGAACAGGAUUAGAUACCCUGGUAGUCCAUGCCGUAAACGAUGAGUGCUAAGUGUUGGGGAGGCUUCCGCCUCUCAGUGCUGCAGUUAACGCAU